UACGUAGGUGGCGAGCGUUGUCCGGAAUUACUGGGUGUAAAGGGCGCGUAGGCGGGGCUGCAAGUCAGAUGUGAAAUCCUGGGGCUCAACCCUGGGGCUGCAUUUGAAACUGUAGUUCUUGAGUGCAGGAGAGGGAAGUGGAAUUCCUAGUGUAGCGGUGAAAUGCGUAGAUAUUAGGAGGAACACCAGUGGCGAAGGCGGCUUCCUGGACUGUAACUGACGCUGAGGCGCGAAAGCGUGGGGAGCAAACAGG
rnacentral:rRNA from 1 species